rnacentral:rRNA from 1 species
AGAUGUUGGUUAAGUCCCGCAACGAGCGCAACCCUCGACCUUAGUUGCCAGCAUUCAGUUGGGCACUCUAAGGUGACUGCCGGCUAAAAGUCGGAGGAAGUGGGGAUGACGUCAAAUCAUCAUGCCCCUUAUGACCUGGGCUACACACGUGCUACAAUGGUUGGUACAACGAGUUGCGAGUCGGUGACGGCGAGCUAAUCUCUUAAAGCCAAUCUCAGUUCGGAUUGUAGGCUGCAACUCGCCUACAUGAAGUCGGAAUCGCUAGUAAUCGCGGAUCAGCACGCCGCGGUGAAUACGUUCCCGGGCCUU